GGUAACAUGUUUCGGCGUCCUUCCACACUGUCGCGGCUUAUGUUGUUUUGCUGUUUGGGUUUGCACUGUCUUUUUGAGCUGUAACACAGCAAAGGUUUGCAGUUUCGCUCCUGAAAUCAUCGAGACCACAAACCCACCGGGAAGAACGAACAACUCCAGACGCACCGCUUUAAGAGCUGUAAUACUCGUUAGGAAGGUGUGCAGCUUGACUCCUGAGUCAGCGAGACCAUGAACCCAUCAGAAGGAAAAAACUCCGAACAUCAGAAGGAACAAGUUUCAGACACGCCACCUUUAAGAACUGUGAUACUCACCGCGAGGGCCCGCGGCUUCAUUCUUGAAGUCCGUGAGACCAAGAACCUACCAAUUCCGAAUACGUUGGGUUCAAGUGGUUCUCCUGCCUCAGACUCCCGAAUACCUGGGACUACAGGCACCCACCACGCCCGGGAAAUUGGCAACUGAUGAAGGGAAGUGUAUCAGUCCGUUUUCAUGCU
rnacentral:lncRNA from 1 species